GCUUCCUUUAAUCUAUGUGGUUUCCCUGGCUAUGAGUCCACUGCCAGUCAACAUAACACAGUAGAGUUGCUAAUCAGUCAACCAAGGACAAGCUCCUUUGGCUUACAAACUUUAACCCCUGGCCAACCAUUCAGUUUCUUUCUUACUUCCUUGGUAAGGAGUAGGCCCUGGGACUAACCCCACUUCAAUUAACAGUAACAGAUGUAAGUCACAGACUGGGUCCUAGCGUUGGAAUGUUUGAAAGUUAGAAGUAAGUCCUCCUACCUUCAGACAGAACCACACCUAAACCAUGCCAGACGUGUGAGGAAUUCAUGAACUCAUAUGAGAACACUGAAGCUCCAGUAGUUCAUGAAGCAACUCAGAGGCAGAAUUGUGCAAGAACAGACCACUUUUAUAAGAGUGAAAAGACCUAACUGACAUAGGCCUAAACGACCCUUCUCCGGCUUUGGGAGCCAGAGAGAGAGCAAGAGGAAAAAAGGUGACAGGACAAAGAACAAUGGCCCAAGGCUGGUCUGAAGAACUGAACCCAAUUGUUCUCUCACUCAGACCCUUGGGAAAUGAUAUGCCUUUAGGGAGUUUAUAGUUUUCGUCUGGCUUACUACCCCCUCUCAACACAUUACAACACAGCCACUUGACAGCACUGCCAGUUCACCCUGUUCCUCCUUCUUACAAGUUAAUUUUGUCUGGUGAUGCAGUUGCCACCCAUUAGGACUUGAGCAGUUCGGGGUGGAAAAAAGAGGCUGGAAGAGAAGAAAUGCCAACAUCAGCAAUGACCCUGCCCUUCUACCUACCCUCCCCUCCACAGCCUGCCUAAAGAACUGCUAGGGACAGAGUCGGUGUGUACACACUCGCUGGGGUAAGGGGGCAGAGGAUGAAAACGAUUUAGUUAUUUUAACUCCCAGUUCUUCAAAUGCAGACCCAAAGGAAUGAUUCACGCCAAAACAAAUCUUUGCAAAUGAAAGCCCUUAUUGACAAUAACUAAAAAUAGAUAUGUAAACCUAUUCACCCCAAAUUAGCUCACAGGGCUGCCUUCUCCAUCAGUCCUCUUUUAUCAUGUUGGAAACGGUUCUGGUGCUGUGGGUGACUUAACCAUCAUAUGCUGUAAUGCUGCUCACAAGAGUGGCUUUUAUAAUUUUUAAAGGAAAAGGAAUAACUAUAAAAUUAUGAGACAGCUGAAAUAAAUCUCUAAAAGAUAACUUUACAGGCUACUAACAAAACACUCCAAGCAGUGACAUUUUAAAGAACCUAAUUUCUCCAAGCGUUAGCCACUCUGUCAGUGUAUGUAUUUCCCACAGAGAACCAGUCCUUUUUUUGGUUAUGAGGUCGACACUUUCAUUCAAGAUCUGUCCCUCCUCAAGAAACUUUGGAUAAAAUAAUGCAAAGACCUAGUAAACGAAAUGCCAAUUGGGAGAAAACACAGGCAUAUACCUCAACAAGCACAAUAAGGACAUCUUGAAAGGCUGCCCAUAGGACAAAACAUUGUGCAAUAAAUGUUUUAUUCCUGAUUCAUUUCUGUAAGGGGAGAGACACCGUUUGCAGGGCAGGUCACACCUACUGCACUGGGCCACUUUCAGGAAACUCCUCCUGGAAAUUAGAGGCUAUCUGCUGAAGGUUUCCCCCCCUUGGAUUAGCAGGAGGUAGGCAAUUAUCUUUAGAAGGGACCCAAUGAAAAAACUCUGUAGCACAGAAUUUUCUCUCCAAAGGCUUGUCACCAUAGAAAAGGUAAUGGGGGUGGAGGGAGGGCUGGCAUUCAUCAGAAGCACAUAGCCCCAAGUCUUAGGAUCCCAAGAUUCCAGCCCGAUGUGGCUUCUGAAGGUCAUUACUUGGGACACUGCUGCUGCUCCAUGGAUAUAUCAUUCACUUGAAUGAGAUUUGAGUUGUUUCCUUAAUGGUCCCUUGACUAUGACUUGAAACUCAAAACUAAUCCAGAAAAUAGUAUAACCUUGCGAAGGUUUUCACCUGAUGUUACAAUGACUUCAAAGGGACUAACUAGGAAACCACAGGAAUAAAAGGAAGUACACCUAUCCCACAACAUACAACAUAGAUGUUAAAAAUUGCUCACAAUACAAGUAACUAUAAACGAAUCCUAUUUUACAAUGGCACCAGAAAGAGGGGGAGCUGUUGCUAGGCUGGCCUUGUCACCCUCAGUUAACCAACUAUGUGACGUAAUUGUUUAGGUAGGAUACUAAACGCAGUAUCCUUUUCAUGAUCUUUCCUCUUAGGGAGUUUCAGUUCAUGGUUAGGAUAGGCCACAUGCAAACUUUUUUUUGGGGGGGGGCAGACAAGGGGAAGUUUGGAGAGAACUGUUUGAGGGUUUUUUCUAUCCACUUGAUUCUCCCAUGAUAAAAGUUCAUUUAGCAUUAAUCUACUCUGGGGCCACAUUCUACUUCUCUGUUUCCAACACAACCAGAAACAACUUAAGUUCCAUUUCUCUGGCACUUGUUAAGCAUCUCCCCCACUAACAGAUUCCCAUGAUGCUCCCUGGUGAGGUGAGGAAGAUGCAAGCAGAGUGAAAGUGCCUGCAGGUCCUAUACAAGCUGGAAAGGCUUCCAGUCCCAACCAUCCAACUGGUGAUGAUACUGUCAUUAGAGAACCAGUCUAAAUUCACCAAGGCUCAUCCCCAGGUUGGUUGUGAGGAGAUGAAUUUUUCAACCACAGCAAUUCUCAAAGAUUACCUAUUAAGUUAUACAGAAAAGCUGCACUCUGCAUUUGUGGAAGGAAUACCCACACUUACACAUUGCAGAUCCUUGAAGUAUUGAAGUCUGAAUAAAUAGAGUCUGUACGACCAUGUACCUAGGGACUGU